UACGUAGGUGGCAAGCGUUGUCCGGAUUUAUUGGGCGUAAAGCGCGCGCAGGCGGUCUUUUAAGUCUGAUGUGAAAUCUCGGGGCUCAACCCCGAGCGGUCAUUGGAAACUGGGAGACUUGAGUGCAGAAGAGAAGAGCGGAAUUCCACGUGUAGCGGUGAAAUGCGUAGAGAUGUGGAGGAACACCAGUGGCGAAGGCGGCUCUUUGGUCUGUAACUGACGCUGAGGCGCGAAAGCGUGGGGAGCGAACAGG
rnacentral:rRNA from 1 species